UCUUGCUCUUAUGGUCCUAAACUGCCCUCCUGCAUGCUGGCCCAAGUGACAGGCAGUCUGGUGUUCAGAUAGUGAUCUUGAGUACUUCUUGUGGCAUUCCAAGCCUGUCAUUUAAAUCAAGAUAUGGAACUUGGCUUCAUGUAUUUGGAACAUUCUCCAUUUUCGAAGAAUCGUUAUGCACUUGCAUGGAACAAAUGGAACUAUAGCUUACGAACUAUAAAUGACUGAGGAGAUAUUCUAGAAGCAAAUGCUAGAAGUGAAGGUGAAGCAUUUUAGCUGAUGUUGACAGAAUUGCAGAAAUUCUUCGCUGUAGUGGGAAAAUUUUGUGCAAAACCAGAAAUGUUCUUAUGGUUUUAAUUGAGUGGCAGAAAUUUACUUCUGUGUAGUCAUCCCUGCUAAGAGAUUCUUUAAAACCAACAUUUUCCAUUUUUCCUUGUUUAUUUCUUUUUUGGCUAGUAGUUGCUUUCCUGAAUUGGAUUUUAAAUGAUGAAUCUAAG
rnacentral:lncRNA from 1 species